UUACGGCCAUAUCACAUUGGAACAUCGGUUCUCGUACGAUCAUCGAAGUUAAGCAACGUCGAGCCUGGUCAGUAUCUAGAGACGUGACCUCUUUGGAAUAUCAGGUGCUGUAA